AGAAGGAUCUGCAAGUGUGGAACAUGCAGCUUUCACAUCCCAAAGAAUCAUGGCUGGGAUCAGAAUCAACACUUAGAAGAGCCACUCCCUCGAAAAAGGCAACCAAGAAAACGAAUGGAUUCUAUUACCUUGGAUUAAUUAAACUCGCUGAGCAAAGAGCCCACCUCUGCCGAGUCCCAGUUCUGCCUAAGACAAGGUUUGUCCGCUUUCUUCAGCGACAGGACCGCCCAAGAGAUCAACUUAACGGUAUAAGCACUGAACUUCGAGCUCAGAGCCGGCCGCGGGAGGCUCGGCCACCCAGGCAGGAAAAUCAAGGAGGCCAGGUACCAGCAGGGGCGCGUGGGGCGCGGCGAGGGCUCCUAUCCCUGCGGUCCACGUGUUCCUCAGGCGUGGCGCCUGCCGUGCUGAAAACCGCAUCUCCCGAAAUCCCAGCUGGUAAAACCCGCCCGGGUUCUCUCCUGUCAUUCUCCGCGACGUGAAGGGCUCAGAGUGUUUUCGCGUUCGCGGAUCACUGAAACCGCCUCUGCGAGGCCUCCGGGUGACUGAAGAGAGCGGGGUGUUCCGUGUUCUCCCGCCGGUGCGGUCCUCUUCCAGUCCAGCCGCCUGAUUCUGUGCCCGCGAGGGUCUCG
rnacentral:lncRNA from 13 species